rnacentral:misc_RNA from 1 species
AACGCACAUUGCGCCCGCCAGCACUCUGGCGGGCAUGCCUGUUCGAGCGUCAUUUCAACCCUCAAGCCCCCAGCGGGCUUGGUGUUGGGGACCGGCCAGACUCGCCGCUGCGGCAGGUCGUCUGCGCCGCCCCCGAAAUGAAUUGGCGGUUCCGCCGCGGCCUCCUCUGCGCAGUAGCACAACCUCGCAGCCUGGAGCGCGGGCGCAACCACUGCCGUAAAACGCCCCCCCUUCCCUUUCCGGGAGGGCUCUUCAAGAGUUGACCUCGAAUCAGGUAGGAAUACCCGCUGAACUUAA